CCAACGUGGCUAUCCCAGGAGGUGACUCUCCCCAGGCUCUGUCCUAGUGACAGGGGAGCAUGGGGCUUCUGCUCCAUGAUGUACAGUCCUUUCCACAAUGUUGGAGAUAAAGCUGGGCUUGGAGUCUGCACCUGCAUAUUCCUGCCACUUCUCCGAGUCCUGUGGAUGAUGGAUGGGGAGACAAAUCAUACAGAAACAGUC
ensembl:snoRNA SNORA73 Small nucleolar RNA SNORA73 family